rnacentral:lncRNA from 1 species
GAGCUGCAACUCUUAACAAGGCAGUCUACCAACCCCUUAGCGAAGACAUAUGAUUCUUUAGACUUUGAUCUCCUGAACCUAUCAUAGUUCCUCGCCAACAAGGAGACAAGCCUACUAUCGAGGAACUCAGGUAUCUUGCCACCUCUACUGCCAACUUGAUUGUAGAACGUAGACCGAACCAGCCGCAAUAGCAAACACCUGACACGCAAACGUAAAAUGCGCAAAUCAUGAAGUGAAUAUUAAAUACGGAGUAGUGAAGUAUGCAUUAGUUGGUUUAUAAAAAAUGGAAUCCAAUAUGCA